rnacentral:lncRNA from 1 species
GGGGAGUUCUGGAACUUGGCAACAGAAGGGCCGGGAGGAGGCUGCUAGCAAUGGCUACGGGGAUGAGAAGGGAUGGAGAAGGGGUCACACUUGAAGUUAAGCACUUGAACCUAAGCACCAGAACCCAGUUCCAGGAUUUCCUCCACCUACUGAGCAUCCUGCUGAUAUAUCAAGGGGAUAGGACAAUAAGAUUUACUCCUGGCUCCUAGACAACAUCAGCGUAUUUUCAUAGUGGUCCCAAGCUCCCCAGGGUGAUCAGAAGACCAGGCCUCCCAUCAGCCAGCCAGUGGAGGCUAUUUGGAAGCCCCUCAGCUCAACUGAGGCAAGUAGUCUCUUCCCCUGCCCACCCCAUCAUUGCACCCUCUUCUGCUGCUACAUUCUUUGUGGUCAUGCCCGACUUCCCCCCUUGCCUUAAAUAGAGAGCCAGAGGCCCCUCCAGGCUGCCAGGAUCCAAGGAAGGCAGGAUGAAUCUCCCGCACAGUGGGAAGCAACCUCAGAUUGGGAAGGGUUCCUCCCAAAGUCAACUCAAUAAAACAAAGAAG